ACUCAUUAUCAGUACGGACGUGUAUGAUACGAUAUGGCUCAAAAGAAAACCUGCAGUAGCUCCGUUGCUUACUUGAUUCCCUUCAUAUUCCUGCUGUUCUUAUUACUGUGUUCACAGCAAAUAGCAUUUGCCAGAGUUUCAAAACUUUCGAAAAGCAAAUUCGAAAGUACCAGUACAAUUCAUCAGCAAAUCAAGAUUCAUCCAGGCCCUUGGGGUAUACCACGUGCAUAUCGGCACGGUUGAUGAAUGAACCGCUUACACUGAUCCAUCUUCUCUUAAGAUGUCAAUCAUGAUUCAUGUCAUAAAGAUGAUCUUACUCGCACAGUCGAUCUAUGUGUACGGGUCUAUAAAACAUUGUAUGCCUAAUAAUGUAUACUAUUAAACGUUAAUUACAUA